rnacentral:rRNA from 1 species
GAUGAACGCUGGCGGCGUGCCUAAUACAUGCAAGUCGAGCGAACGGACGAGAAGCUUGCUUCUCUGAUGUUAGCGGCGGACGGGUGAGUAACACGUGGAUAACCUACCUAUAAGACUGGGAUAACUUCGGGAAACCGGAGCUAAUACCGGAUGAUAUUUUGAACCGCAUGGUUCAAAAGUGAAAGACGGUCUUGCUGUCACUUAUAGAUGGAUCCGCGCUGCAUUAGCUAGUUGGUAAGGUAACGGCUUACCAAGGCAACGAUGCAUAGCCGACCUGAGAGGGUUAUAGGCCACACUGGAACUGAGACACGCUCCAGACUCCUACGGGAGGCAGCAGUAGGGAAUCUUCCGCAAUGGGCGAAAGCCUGACGGAGCAACGCCGCGUGGGUGAUGAAGGUCUUCGGAUCGUAAAACUCUGUUAUUAGGGAAGAACAUAUGUGUAAGUAACUGUGCACAUCUUGACGGUACCUAAUCAGAAAGCCACGGCUAACUACGUG